CGCCGAGUUCCUUAUCUCCAGUAUCGGAUCCCGCGAUUUUCCUGAGCGCUCUCCCGCCCCGAACGCCGCGCUGCGGCGGAGGGAGGCGGCGGGGCUCCGUGCACCAUCCCGACCCGCUCCAGGAAACCAGCUUGAGGUGCGUGAGGGCCUCCAAACCCACUGCAGCCCGGAGGGAGCGAGGGCGGCGUUGGAAGUCCUGGCGGCUCCGGUGUCUGGGGCCGGCGCCCUAGAGGACGCCCGGAGGUUUCUGAACCUGUUGCCUUCUCAGCUUCUCUGUUUUAACUUUGUUUUCCCCAUGUGCUGAGGGCACAUUUUGGGUCUCCGAGGUGGUCCCUUAACCUUUCAACUUCUUGCAACUUGUCUUUGGAGCUUUACCGAUAACUACGGAGCCGCGGUGUCAUUUCCGAGCAUGAUGUAAAUAAUGGAUGGCGGUUCAGCAGCGUCCACCUUCUUGACUGACAGCUUAGAGCUGGAGCUGGGGACAGAGUGGUGCAAACCCCCCUGCUUUUCUUGCGCUUUUGACAGCAGAGACGGAAAAUUUUCUGGAGAGUCCUACCUUGCCAGUGGCGCCCUUAAGCGGUUAAUUUUAAAUCUUGAUCCAUUACCAACUAACUUUGAAGAGGAUACAGUAGAACUAUUUGGCAUCCAAUGGGUUACUGAAACAGCACUAGUACAUUCAUGUCGAGAACUCUUUCAUUUAUUCAGGCAACAGAUAUUUAACUUGGAGUCUUUGUUACAAGUCAACUGCGAUUUUGGGAAGAUAGCCGCCUUGCACGCCAAAGCAGACAGCAUUAGGCAGCAAUGUGUAGUAUUUCUUCACUACCUUAAAGUCUUCAUCUUCAGGUGGCUGAAAGUACAAGAAGCAGAGAGCCACAGUCUCCUUGUCCAUCCCUAUGAGGUUUUGGAAGCUCAGCUUCCCUCGAUGUUGGUUGAUGAGCUUCAUGGAUUACUUCUAUAUAUUGGACAUCUAGCUGAACUUCCCAGUGUUACUCUAGGAGCAUUUGUAAAUCAAAACCAGAUUAAGGUUUGAUUAGUUUCAUUUUUAAAUUAUCCAACUUUUUUUUCUCCCCCAAGAAAAAGUAUUAUUCAAGAAUAAGAAUUGGUUGUUAUUUAUUGCUUGUUAAUUAUGUCUUCUUAUUAUAUAUAAAUGUGCCUUACUUCAGUCUCUCCAUUUACACAGCUUCUUUAACUGAGAUAUGGAAAGAAAUAAAUGACUGGUGUGCCUCGAGUGUGUAAAACACUACCCUGUAUCUGUAUUGUAUGGAGCUGUUCUCCAUUCAACAGUGUAAAUGCUUAGAAGUUUCAAAUAAAAAUUAAUGUGUUUGAAA
rnacentral:lncRNA from 1 species